GUACCUACAUAGAGUGCUGUCAGUUCCAAUUGUAGUAUCUGUUCUUAUCAGCUUAAUAUCUGAUAUGGUCCUCAUGUGGGAUCCUCGAUAUUAAACUGAUUUUUGAAUAAUGGCGAAGUGCUGGGGCUUGCUCCACCUUUGCCGCGGAUCGUCCCAGUAUUGCAAUACAUCUAGGGUCGGUCCACUCCCU